rnacentral:tRNA from 1 species
AGCCUUGUAGUUUAUAAAAAAUACUAAGUUGCAGCCUUGGUGAAGGAUGUAUUCCCUAGGCUU